rnacentral:tRNA from 1 species
GGGGCCGUAGUCUAGCCAGGGAGGAUGCCGGCCUGGGGCGCCGGUGGUCGCGGGUUCGAAUCCCGCCGGCCCCA